UUCAUAUAUAUUUAAAUAUUUAAUAUUUUCUAGAUGGAGCCAUAUAACUUUUAGGUUGGGUUCACUUCGUGGAUUAUCCGGACGUGUACACAAAAUUCAUAACAAGGAUGCAAUCCGACGAUGAGCUGGGCGAGGAUGAGGAAGAAAUGCUCGUUUACGUAGAGUUUGAGGGACUUGUCGGCAGUAAUGUAUUUAAUAAUGAAGAACUUCAAUUAGAUAUGAUUGGAAUAGAUACAGAGCAUCCUAUAAUGCAAAUUAAUGGACGGUUUUAUGAGGGCACUUAUGAAGACACUACAGGUACCCACAUGUUCUUUGAAAAAGAUGAUGAUCCACAAGUGGAUGAUGUUGUAUUCGAUAAAGUGCCGACUCUAAAAUAUUUUGCUAAAACAAGAAAGGUACUUAAGAUGCAGAGAAUCUUUACGAAACCGAGAGUCGAGGUUCUGGGUGACUCUGAACAUGAUAGUUGUAUUCCGAAUAUUGAUAGUUUAUCACAGGCUGGAGUACCUCUAAAAUAUCAAGAGGAAGCCCUUCAGUAUUGGAAUAAGACACAUGAUGAUAGACUAGAAGAAUUAAGCACAUAUUUGGAAAAACAAAAAAUUAGAGAAGAAAAGAAAUCCAAAGACUCAAAAUCAUGACAUCUUUACCAAUCAAGGUCACUAGGAAGUUCAUCUGGAUACUCCCCUGUUAGACAAGCAGUACAGUGUCCAAUAUAAUUACUUUCACGAUUGUCCAUGCGAUAUCUAACUGCUUCAACAAGUCCCUCAACCGACAGUUUGGCCCGCAUCCGUUGUAAUAAUUAUUUCACAAAAGCACACGAGACACAAAACGGAAUUGAAAAUCGAGAAGAAGAGGAUGACGAUGAGAAGGUCGAAGAUGAGUUGGAGCAGAAGAUUCGAUAGCAAGAAGAAGAAGAAGAAGUUAUAUAAAUACGUAAAUUACCUCGUGUAUGUUUUUUCCUUUCUCUUCUUAUUUAUGAGAUUUUCAUCCGCUCAUCGAACGUGGUAUAUCACACUAUUCUUCUAAGAAACGUCUCUCCUCUCGUCGCAGGACGAAUAAAUGCUCCGAAAUAAUGCUGCAGACCAGUGGGACGCUGCGUCGUCGUUUGAAGAGGAGAUUCGAAUACACAGAUGAGCCGGCUUGGCUAUUAUCUCCUCCGCUUUCGUUUUUGAAAAGGAAAAGAGGGACUGCGGAAGGUGAAGAAUAUAUAUCACGUGUGCUAUCUCGAGCCCCCUAGAAGAACGUGCGCGUAUUCAUCUUGAAAAAAAGCGCUCUCUCUCUUCUCACAAUCAUCAACGGGAAUUGUGAUGCGGCCGCUACACAAACACACGAUUAUAUACCAUAGAAAGAAACUGGAAUAGAGAUCAGUGGAACUACUUGAUGUAUUUCGUCACCGCACACGUCGAAAUUUAGAAUCUUCCGAUCGAUAACGCGACUUAUUAUUGGAACGAGAAUAUAGUUAUCUAAGUUCCAUAAACUUUAGAAAGUUGCUUUCAUGAUUUUUCUUUCUCGCUUGCUUUUAUUUAAUGUUCACAUGAUUUCGAUAUAAUUUAUUUAACUUUUUUAUAUAUUACAAUGUUUUUUUUCUGCUAAU